AGUGAACGCUGGCGGCAGGCCUAACACAUGCAAGUCGAACGGCAGGACAGUAAGCUUUUGCUCUUACGGGUGGCGAGUGGCGGGUGGGUGACGCGUAGAUCGCCUUCCUCUUUUACGUGGGUGACUUCGGAGGGCCGCUUAUGCUACCAGCUCAUAUGUUCUACGGCUGAGUUCAGUAGUUAUUGGGGCCUUUCGCGUUACUAUGAGAUGAGGUCGCAUUAGCUAGUUGGCUAGGUAAAGUCCCACCAAGGCGACGAUGCGUAGCUGAUCUGAGAGGAUGAUCAGCCACACUGGAACUGAGACACGGUCCAGACUCCUACGGGAGGCAGCAGUAGGGAAUCUUCCGCAAUGGGCGCAAGCCUGACGCAGCAAUACCGCGUGAGUGAAGAAGGCCUUCGGGUUGUAAAACCCUUUUAUUAGGGAAGAAAAACAGCGGAAUUAUACACGGCUGUUCUGACGGUACCCAAAGAGUAAGCACCGGCUAACUUCGUG
rnacentral:rRNA from 1 species